rnacentral:rRNA from 1 species
UACGAAGGGGGCUAGCGUUGCUCGGAACCACUGGGCGUAAAGGGUGCGUAGGCGGGUCUUUAAGUCAGGGGUGAAAUCCUGGAGCUCAACUCCAGAACUGCCUUUGAUACUGAGGAUCUUGAGUUCGGGAGAGGUGAGUGGAACUGCGAGUGUAGAGGUGAAAUUCGUAGAUAUUAGGAAGAACACCAGUGGCGAAGGCGGCUCACUGGCCCGGUACUGACGCUGAGGCGCGAAAGCGUGGGGAGCAAACAGG